UACGGAGGGUGCAAGCGUUAUCCGGAUUCACUGGGUUUAAAGGGUGCGUAGGUGGAUCGGUAAGUCCGUGGUGAAAUCCCCGAGCUUAACUCGGGAACUGCCGUGGAUACUAUCGAUCUUGAAUACUGUGGAGGUAAGCGGAAUAUGUCAUGUAGCGGUGAAAUGCUUAGAUAUGACAUAGAACACCGAUAGCGAAGGCAGCUUGCUACACAGUUAUUGACACUGAGGCACGAAAGCGUGGGGAGCGAACAGG
rnacentral:rRNA from 1 species